rnacentral:rRNA from 1 species
GACGAACCGGACAAACGUUAUUCGGAAUUACUGGGCUUAAAGGGUUUGUAGGCGGCCUUGUAAGUCAGGUGUGAAAUCCCUCGGCUCAACCGAGGAAUAGCGCUUGAUACUGCAAGGCUUGAGGGAGACAGGGGUAAGCGGAACUGAUGGUGGAGCGGUGAAAUGCGUUGAUAUCAUCAGGAACACCGGUGGCGAAAGCGGCUUACUGGGUCGCUUCUGACGCUGAGGAACGAAAGCUAGGGGAGCGAACGGG